GACGAACGCUGGCGGCGUGCUUAACACAUGCAAGUCGAACGGAAAGGCCCUGCUUUUGUGGGUUGCUCGAGUGGCGAACGGGUGAGUAACACGUGAGUAACCUGCCCUUGACUUUGGGAUAACUUCAGGAAACUGGGGCUCAUACCGGAUAGGAGCUCCUGCUGCAUGGUGGUGGUUGGAAAGUUUCGGCGGUUGUGGAUGGACUCGCGGGUUAUCAGCUUGUUGGUGAGGUAGUGGCUUACCAAGGGUUUGACGGGUAGCCGGCCUGAGAGGGUGACCGGCCACAUUGGGACUGAGAGACGGCGCAGACGGCUACGGGAGGCAGCAGUGGGGAAUAUUGCGGAAUGGGCGGAAGCCAGAUGCAGAAACGCCGCGUGCGGGAUGAUGGCUUAUGGGUUGUAAACAGAUGUGGACUGUGCUGAGCCGGGAGUGACGGUAAUUGGUAAAAAAGCCCCGGCUAACUACGUG
rnacentral:rRNA from 1 species